GAACGCAAAUCGUUUACAAAGAGUUAUCUUAGCUAAGUAAACGAGACUAAAAGCAUACGUUCACAGUGAACUGUCAAACCUCCCCAACAUUUACUAAACAAUACAUUCAUCCCACAAUCAGACGUAUUAACAUAUCUCGGCGUUCACCUAAUCUCUCCGCUUAAUCUGAAAUACAAAGUACUGCUCUACAAUACCGUGCUGAACCCAUCUGGACAUACGGCUGUGAACUAUGAGGAAACGCGUCAAAAACCAACAUUGAAAUUAUACAGCGAGCUCAGUCAGCAAUUCUGCGAACUAUCAUUGGGGCAUCAUAGAACCUACGCAGCGAAAGCUUCCAUAGAGACCUCCACAUAAACUUCGUCAACGAGGAAAUCCAGAUGAGAAAGAGUAAUCAUCAAGCAAAGCUCGCCGCACUGUAGCGAACUACAAGUAUAACUUUCCCGAGUAGAUGGUAAAUUGCAGUUCCGGCUACUAAUUCUCGGUAGAGUAAAAGGGGGAAUAUUUGACAUCGCGACACUGGCUCGUCUCGUAUCACACUCUCAUUUAUUUCGCGUGCUUUGGAAUUGAUCUCCACAAGAAACACUAAAGGACUAUCGGGCGACAGGACUAAGGACAAACAAGGACAUAGCACACUCGUACGACAGCAUCUCUUAAGCUGUCGACGCCCACACUACCUUGACCACCACUAACCAUUUGACAUAACCGGUGAUCCCUACAAGUAUGCUACAUCUUACACGACAUACACCUUCCGACGCCGCAUGGCACCCCUAGAGAGAUUUACUCGGACUUAAACUUUAUAAAAUUUAAUUUUUAACAUGGAAUAAACUUAAAAACUGACAAUGUUUUAAUUGGAACAGGUUUAGACAAAAUA